GGGGCGGGGCGGGGCGGGGCUGCUGGUUCGCCUGUGGCAGCCAUGACACCUCUGUGAGGGGCGUGCGCGCCCAGCCCUGCAGGUGAGGAAGUUCACAGAGAAGUGAUAAGAAAAGGGCAGGGCUGGUGGCAUCUUCAAUCUGCGGUUCGAUUCGCGGAGGUUUAAUCCGGAGUUCUGCUUAUGUUUGGGCUGAGGAAGGGCCCUGUCAGUUGUGUUGGUGCUGCCCAUACGAGCUGCAUGAGGCUGUCGUCAAGAGCACGAGAGGGACGCUGGUUUCUCUGUGAUUUCUCUCCUACAAAAGCAUUUCCUUGUGCUGUGUUUUGGUUUGGAAUACCUCAGUUAUUCAGGACUUUGUUAUUUUUCAGCUUCAGCAGCUCAAAACUAAGCGACAAAAGACAAUACACGUCCUUCAAAAUAAUUACUUCACCAGUUUGUGUUUAGCAGAAGUUCAAAAUAAUGACUUUAUUUAAUUACAAUAUGGGUAACGUUAGAAACAUCAGCUUUACAGCUCCCUGACUGAAGUAUCUCAUUAACAUGCACUGGUCCUCCAAGUGAGAGCUGUACCAGCUCUGAAGAACACAAACUUUACCAUCAGCUGAGCCUAGGAGAAGUAAGAAUAUUUUUAAGCCAAGUCUCUUGUGGGGAUAGACAGCAGCACGUUGUGAAGAAUGAUAUUCUCCAGCAGAAGAUCUGAUCCAGCAGUGGACACUACAAGGCAACUGUGAUUCUGAAUGGAUCAAAUAUGAAGAGCAAAAACAUAGAUUUAGAAAAGUUCAUCCACAAGAAAAGACCUAGAAAAUCCAAGCUUGUUUCAUCCAUGAAUGAGAACACUGCAGGGAUAACGUGGCUGCUGCACAAAUGAACUGUUCUCAAUGCCUGUGGGAACAGGACAAACAGUAAUGGACUCAAAUAGCAGCAAGGUGGGUUUUGAUAGCCAUGAAGUGAGCUCUAACACUCUGAAAAGUGUAUAUAAUGAAAUAGAUGGCAUAAAAGGGUUAUGGAAUCACAGCAAUUGGCAAAUCAGUUCUAGUAGAGCGUUCCCAUGUGGUUGCAUUUUAUGCUCUCAAAUGUUGUGAUUAGUAGCAUUUUUUCCUCCCAUCAUUAUGGCUGAGCCAUCCAGAGUUAUAUCAAACGAUGAUCAUCGCCCCCAUCUGAAACUAUAAAUUGUAAUGCUUUGGGUUCUGAAGAGCAACCUUCUGUGUGGUUUCAUCAAACAGACAGGGCUCACUUUAAUAUGUAGAAUGCAAAACUAAAUUUCUCCUUUAAAAUUUUUGUUCUGCAAUGCAAUUUUUCUACUAUUUCCAUCACAUUGCAUAAAAGGCUUCAGUCAGAAAAAAAAAAAGGUGACUAUUUGCCCAGGUGAAAUAGAAUAGUGCUUUCUUGGAGCAGUACAAUUCAUUGAGAAAAAAAAACCCAAACUGCAUGUUGGAAAUGCCAAAUAUCUUUUGAAGCCUUUGAAGACAAAAAUAGUUUUCACAAGUUGAACAAAAAGCUGUCUAGAGUCCAAAAUACUCCAGAAAUUAACAGGAGUAAUUACAAAUUUCAUUAAAUGUCAGUUCUAGCUUGGUUUUAAACCCUAGCUUACCUCAGUUUUGCAAAAGGGUUUAUAUAGAUUACUGCACUACCCACUCUAUAGACUGUAAUGCCCUAAAAAAAAUAAAUACAUUUCCACAAAGUAAAUCACAGUAUUGGUUUGUUGGCAAAUGAAUGUGUAAAGAGAACAGUUUACACCAGAAGGAUCAAAGUCAAAGCCUUUAUUAAAUGUUCCUUCUUUAAACAGACUGCAUUUAAUUCCCCCCUUGUAUUUGUGAUUUCUAAGGCUGUUUUAAAUACUGUGUUUUACAGGGAUUUUCAAUCUUCAGAACCGUCACAAGCAGCAA